rnacentral:rRNA from 1 species
CGAUAUCAAUAAGCGGAGGAAAAGAAACUAACAAGGAUUCCCCUAGUAACGGCGAGUGAAGAGGGAAGAGCUCAAAUUUUAAAUCUAUUACGUUAUACGUGAUCGAAUUGUAAUUUGAAGAAGCGUUUUCUCGAUCCACGAUCGGUAGAAGUUCUCUUGGAACAGGACAUCAUAGAGGGUGAUAAUCCCGUGUGUUAUUGAUCGUGAGUUCGUAAUAUGAUACGCUUUCAAAGAGUCGAGUUGUUUGGGAUUGCAGCUCUAAUUGGGUGGUAAACAUCACCUAAGGCUAAAUAUUUGCGAGAGACCGAUAGCGAACAAGUACCGUGAGGGAAAGAUGAAAAGAACUUUGAAAAGAGAGUUAAAAAGUAUGUGAAAUUGUUGAAAGGGAAACGAUUGAAGUCAGUCGUGCAGUCAUCAACUCAACGGGUAUCGUGAGUAAUUUAUUGCUUACGUUUUCCGUGUACUUUGUUGUCUGCUGGUUGGCAUCAAUUUUGAUUGUCAUAAAAAGGUUAAGGGGAUGUGGCUCCUUCGGGAGUGUUAUAACCCUUAACGUAAUGUGGCGAUUGGGAUUGAGGAUUGCAACGAAUACCUUUAGGGCAGUUCCGUCUGGUCUCUUGUUGACGUUCAGAUGGCAACAGCCUGCUUUUGUUGUUUGAAUAGUUAACAAAUAGAUUGGAAAGUGAAUUAAUUCGUUAAGGAUGUUGACGUA